rnacentral:rRNA from 2 species
GUCACGUACAUCCGAGGGUCG